rnacentral:misc_RNA from 1 species
GAAAUGCGAUAAGUAAUGUGAAUUGCAGAAUUCAGUGAAUCAUCGAAUCUUUGAACGCACCUUGCGCUCCCCGGUAUUCCGGGGAGCAUGUCUGUUUGAGUGUCAUUAAAUUCUCAACCUUUCCAGCUUUUGCGAGCUUGGUCAGGCUUGGAUGUGGGGGUUGCGGGCUUCUCAGAAGUCGGCUCUCCUUAAAUGCAUUAGCGAAACCUUUGUUGACCAUCUCCUGGUGUGAUAAUUAUCUACGCCACUAGAGUGUCAGCCUCAACUUGUUGAGAGGCUCUGCUUCUAAUCGUCCUUCAGGACAACUCUGACAUUUUGACCUCAAAUCAGGCAAGACUACCCGCUGAACUUAA